GGAGGCGAUGAAGGACGUGAUAAGCUGCGAAAAGCUCGGGGGAGGCGCAAAUAGCCCUUGAUCCCGGGAUAUCCGAAUGGGGCAACCCGGCAGGCUGAAGGCCUGCCAUCCCGUAAGGGAGGCGAACGUGGGGAACUGAAACAUCUAAGUACCCAUAGGAGGAGAAAAUAAACAAUGAUUCCGUAAGUAGUGGCGAGCGAACACGGAAGAGCCCAAACCCGUGCCGUCUAGGCGACACGGGGGUUGUAGGACCACGACGUGGCAAGAUAGAGUCAAGUGGAACGCCUUGGAAAAGGCGACCGUAGAGGGUGAUAGUCCCGUACACGACUGACGAUUGAAGCCUAGUGGCAUCCUGAGUAGCGCGGGGCACGAGAAAUCUUGCGUGAAACUGCGGGGCCCAUCCCGUAAGGCUAAAUACUCCCGAGAGACCGAUAGCGAACCAGUACCGUGAGGGAAAGGUGAAAAGAACCCCGAGCAGGGGAGUGAAAUAGACCCUGAACCCGUCUGCCUACAAGCGGUCGGAGCGUUGUUAUGACGUGACGGCGUGCCUUUUGCAUAAUGAACCUACGAGUUACCUUCCCCGGCAAGGUUAAGUACCUAAGGUACGGAGCCGAAGCGAAAGCGAGUCUGAAGAGGGCGGCCAGUCGGGGGGGGUAGACGCGAAACCGAGUGAUCUACCCUUGGCCAGGUUGAAGGUUGGGUAACACCAACUGGAGGACCGGAUGGGUAAGCGUUGAAAAGCUUUCCAAUGAGCUGAGGGUAGGGGUGAAAGGCUAAUCAAACUCGGAGAUAGCUCGUACUCCCCGAAAUGCAUUUAGGUGCAGCCUCUUUAUAGUAUAUCGUGAGGUAGAGCGACUGAUUGGAUGCGAGGGCUUCACCGCCUAUCAAGUCCAGAUAAACUCCGAAUGCGCGAUAUAUAUUUACAGGGAGUGAGGGCGCGGGUGCUAAGGUCCGUGUCCGAGAGGAGAAGAAUCCAGACCACCGGCUAAGGCCCCCAAAUGAUCGUUGAGUUGAACUAACGAGGUCGGAUCGCAGAGACAGCUAGGAUGUUGGCUUGGAAGCAGCCAUUCAUUUAAAGAGUGCGUAACAGCUCACUAGUCGAGCGAUCUGGCGUGGAUAAUAAUCGGGCAUAAACGAUCUGCCGAAGCCGUGGAUGUCGUAAGACAUGGUAGGGGAGCAUUCCAUGCGGCGUCGAAGAUGAGGGAUGACCCUUGUUGGAGCGCAUGGAAAAGCAAAUGUAGGUAUGAGUAACGAUAAGGGGGGCGAGAAACCCCCCCGCCGAAAGACCAAGGUUUCCUGAUCAACGCUAAUCGGAUCAGGGUGAGUCGGGACCUAAGGCAAAGCCGAACGGCGCCGCCGAUGGAAGAAUGGGUUAAUAUUCCCAUACUGCCUCAUGGAGUGACGUGGAGACGGAGAAGUGACAGUCCUGCCGGCUGACGGAAUAGCCGGUUGAAGGGUGUAGAUAUUGAUUCCCGUAGGCAAAUCCGCGGGGAGAGUCGAACCUGAGAGUAUACGGAGCGCUUGCGCAACGUAAUAUGGACGUAACCAUGCUCCCGAGAAAAUCCGCUAAACUUAUCCAUGCGGCACCCGUACCGUAAACGGACACACGUGGUCGGGUUGAGAAUACUGAGGCGCUCGAGUGACUCACGGUUAAGGAACUAGGCAAAUUGACCCUGUAACUUCGGGAUAAAGGGUCCUCGUCGUAAGGCGAGGCGCAGAGAAUAGGUCCAGGCAACUGUUUAACAAAAACACAUGGCUGUGCUAAAUGGAAACAUGACGUAUACAGCCUGACACCUGCCCGGUGCUGGAAGGUUAAGAGGAGAUGUCAUCGCGAGAGAAGCGUUGAAUUGAAGCCCCAGUAAACGGCGGCCGUAACUAUAACGGUCCUAAGGUAGCGAAAUUCCUUGUCG
rnacentral:rRNA from 1 species